GACGAACGCUGGCGGCGUGCCUAACACAUGCAAGUCGAGCGCGAAUAGGGGGGCAACUCCCUUAGUAGAGCGGCAAACGGGUGAGUAACGCGUGGGUGAUCUACCUUCGAGUGGGGAACAACAUCGGGAAACUGGUGCUAAUACCGCAUGACAUCCUCGGAUCAAUCCGGGGAUCAAAGCUGGGGACCGCAAGGCCUGGCGCUUGAAGACGAGCCCGCGUCCGAUUAGCAGUUGGCGGGGUAAUGGCCCACCAAGGCUUCGAUCGGUAGCCGGCCUGAGAGGGCGGACGGCCACACUGGGACUGAGACACGGCCCAGACUCCUACGGGAGGCAGCAGUGGGGAAUAUUGGACAAUGGGCGCAAGCCUGAUCCAGCGAUGCCGCGUGUGUGAAGAAGGCCUGCGGGUUGUAAAGCAC
rnacentral:rRNA from 1 species